CCUUCCUUAUGUUACGACUGCCUGGAGUCCUGGUGGAACCGCCCCUAUGUCACCAAAAGGGCUCUCAAGAAGAGUCGUUCACGCCUGAGCCAGAAAGUCGUCGGUGCCAGGGAUCCCUGCUCCCCGGGUCGCCCUCCCUUGAAGAGACAGGCUUGGAGAGGGGAAGCAGUCGCUCAAGGUCCCCAGCGGAGAAAAGACAGAGCCAGAUCUGACUCAAGAAGUCCAGGUUCCUCCACCUGUGAGGCUGCCACCCAAAGCUCAGCCAUCCUAGAAGUGCCACUCUGGCGUCUUCCCCAAGUUACCACAACUCUUGUUCAGCUGCAACUGCGGUUUGAUUCGGCCCUGGGUUCACAUGCACGUGCCUCUCUUUCCCACUAGAUGGCAGCGUCUCUGAAAGCAAGAUACAUCUCACUCACCACGGACCAUAUUCUUCUCCAGUGCAAAUGUGGAAAUGGGACCAUUUGGCAAAAUCUAUUACAUCAAAAAUGUUGGUACUCUUUGACCCAACAAGUUCAACUGUAGGAAUCUGUCCUAUGAAAUAUCUCCAUAAGUGUGCAAAGAUGUACAAAGACGUUCCGGGCAGCACUGCUUAUAAUACUGAGAAACCGGAGAAUGGAUGAAUAAAUUCUAAUAAAUCCCUACCAUGAAAUACUAUGUAGCUGUUAACAACCUCAUGUGUAAAACAGGGAUAAUAAUAGGAUCCGUCUCUCAUAGUUUUCAUGAGGAUUCAGUGAAUUAAUACCUGUAAAAUGCUUCCAUAGUAAUGCUAGCUGUCAUCAUCACUAGAGAUGUAGAAACAGGGGAAGAUGCAAUGUUGAUUAAAAAAAGAAAUGAGAAAUGCGAUCCCAUUUGAGUAAAUUAACAACAGUAAACGCACAUUAAAAACGAAGAAAAGUCUGGACAUACAAGUACCAUAUGAUGACAUAGGUGGUCUUUGGUGGAGGGUAGGGUAACGGAGACAUUUAUUUUGUAAAUCUCAAUAAAUUUUUAAGUAAUA